rnacentral:rRNA from 1 species
UGGGAAAUUUUGGACAAUGGGCGAAAGCCUGAUCCAGCAAUGCCGCGUGUGUGAAGAAGGCCUUCGGGUUGUAAAGCACUUUUGUCCGGAAAGAAAUGGCUCUGGUUAAUACCUGGGGUCGAUGACGGUACCGGAAGAAUAAGGACCGGCUAACUACGUGCCAGCAGCCGCGGUAAUACGUAGGGUCCAAGCGUUAAUCGGAAUUACUGGGCGUAAAGCGUGCGCAGGCGGUUGUGCAAGACCGAUGUGAAAUCCCCGAGCUUAACUUGGGAAUUGCAUUGGUGACUGCACGGCUAGAGUGUGGCAGAGGGGGGUAGAAUUCCACGUGUAGCAGUGAAAUGCGUAGAGAUGUGGAGGAAUACCGAUGGCGAAGGCAGCCCCCUGGGAUAACACUGACGAUCAUGCACGAAAGCGUGGGGAGCAAACAGG